GAUCCUUUUGUAGUUCAUGAGCAUGAUGAUUGGGUGUUCACGCUGCUGCGUGACAUGUGCCUCCCUCCAAACCUUGUU
rnacentral:sRNA from 1 species